GGGUGCUUAGCUCAGCUGGGAGAGCGCCGCCCUUACAAGGCGGAGGUCGUGG
rnacentral:tRNA from 1 species